rnacentral:rRNA from 1 species
GACGAACGCUGGCGGCGUGCUUAACACAUGCAAGUCGAACGGUAAGGCCCUUCGGGGUACACGAGUGGCGAACGGGUGAGUAACACGUGGGUGAUCUGCCCUGCACUUCGGGAUAAGCCUGGGAAACUGGGUCUAAUACCGGAUAGGACCCUGGGAUGCAUGUCCUGGGGUGGAAAGCUUUUGCGGCGUGGGCUGGGCCCGCGGCCUAUCAGCUUGUUGGUGGGGUGAUGGCCUACCAAGGCGACGACGGGUAGCCGGCCUGAGAGGGUGACCGGCCACACUGGGACUGAGAUACGGCCCAGACUCCUACGGGAGGCAGCAGUGGGGAAUAUUGCACAAUGGGCGCAAGCCUGAUGCAGCGACGCCGCGUGAGGGAUGACGGCCUUCGGGUUGUAAACCUCUUUCAGCACCGACGAAGCGCAAGUGACGGUAGGUGCAGAAGAAGGACCGGCCAACUACGUGCCAGCAGCCGCAGUAA